AGUUUUCACCAUUACAAACAGUGCACCUUGUGUUCCAUAUGUUGAAUCUAGAAGGCAAAUUUCUUGUUCAUAAGAUAGCCAAACCAUAAGACAGAAAACUAGAAACAUGAAAGAGCAAGGCAAUAUGAUUCCUCUAAAAGUCUAGUGUGGGAGAUGCCUUAGAGCUCAAGGUCGUGCAAGGAUCUGCUGGCGAUGAGCUAGUGCUGGCUGGAGGCACAGGGACAGGAGGUGGAGGCGGUCGUCUGGACGGCAACACGCAGAAAGAAAC